GAUUUUACAACAUCCUCUGGCAAGGAGUUCCACAGGUUGACUGUGGGUUGUGUGAAGAAGGACUAUGCAUAAAAACAACCCAUCUAAAUACAUUAUAAAUAAGCUGAACUUAAUAUAUAUUAAUUAGUACAAGUGACUUUAAAUAUGUCAAUGCUGUUUGGCCCACACACGGUUGUGCUUAGAUUUAUUAACUGAAUCUGUUCAAGCUCCAGAGCUAAUGGUGGUCACACAACUCCCAUUAACAUUAAUGAGAAUAUCAGGGUAGACCACGGGUGGUGCAUUAUCCUAAAUGUUAGUACAUGAAGGUAUAGAGUCAAGUGUAGAUUCCUUUGCAAACAAUCAUAAGAAAUCCAGUUACAAUGAAUAUCGAUACUAGGGAUGUAAAUAACCAUUUAAAUAGUUAACCAGUUAAACUACUAAAAUUAUAAUGUUUAAUUGGCAGGAAACCAGGACUGGGAUCCUGCAUGCCUUCCUGGGUGAAGUUGGCACAGCAGAGGCCAGCUAAGAGUGGCCGAGGCCAGAAUCCUACCUGCCCACCCUGGCACAGCUGGAGUCCUUCCGGGACACCUGGGCUGUAUUGGUGCGGCUGGGGCCCUGCCUGCAACCCCCAUGCAGCCGGGGUCCCUCUGGUCCAACACAGGCGCAGUGCGGCCUACCACCCCCACAUGGCUGGCCAGACUCAGGCAGGAGUGCUCUCGUGUGCUUCACUUGACUGUCCAACCAGUUACUGGGUAAGCAUUCCAGUAAGCCUAAUGCUUACUGGGUAACCAAUACUUACUAGGUAACCAGUUAACCUUUUAUACUUGUAAUCAUGUCAAAUUCAUGUUGCCUCUUAUCUCUGUAUUUACAUCAUCUAGCAAUAAAACUGUAAUCAGUGUAUAUAAACACCACGUGAUGGCUGAUUUCUGUUACUGUGACGUUUAGCUUCAUGAGUAAUCCCAUCUGCCCUCAUGAAUGGAGAUGAUUGCUAGAUCAGAUUAGCUCUCACAUAUUAUAUUGCACACCUUCUAGAUAUUUUUUCCAUUUCUAUUGUCCUGUAGGACUGGCUUGAUGUGCUUGGCACAACAGUUGCAGAGAAUUUUACACACUUGGAAUGUCUGAAGCAUGGAAAAUUCCAAUGACUGUCAUGGCUGUAAUGAAGUGUUAAUUCAAUCACAGUGAUGUGAACCUGACUGGAACGUGAUCACGCCUCCCUGCCAUGCAUUCUAAACCAGGGCACCUGCCUGCUUGCUUCAGCAGUUUUUGGAAAAGUUCAGUGGAGUUAUCUGGCUUUGAAACAUAAUUGCCUGACUGCAGUAGUGACUCCAUUCUCCAAAGGCAAAAAGGAGAAAGCAAAAAAGAGGCCAAAUUCGUCCCUGAAGUAAUGCGACCAAAGUCAGUGAAUUUGAUCCUAUAAGCCUGCUCUGUAUGGAUGCCUCUGAUAAACUGCAGAGACAAAUAGAUUCCUGCCUGACCUGUCACAUGUCUUUGUGGGUCUGACCGCCUGCAUGUUCAAUCCUCCAGCCACUGUAACCCAAUUUCCUGAAAAUCAAACUGCACGCUUCUCUGUUUCAGACAUUACUGCUGUCAACAGCAGCUAUUGCAGAUAGUGGGGGAACCAGCCCUCCUAAUUCCAGAGGGAUUAGCAUCCACAGUUUCAGACGGCAGCAGGAUGUAUGAUGGUGCAGUGAUUUAAUAUGCAGCUGGAUUUUCACAAACUAGUUUGACUCUGCAUGACUGAACAACUAGGAUGAAAACUACUUGGUUCAGAAAUUCGGUAACACAUCACUGGAAGUCAAAGCUGAGAUGCUGCAGUGCUAAUGGCUUGGGUGUUUACUUUCCAGGAUGAGAUGGUCUUGGCCUGUCACAUGGAGCCAAAGGUCCCAGGAUCAGCUCUCCAGAUAGUAGAGGGUUACUUUGGAAUUCUUCCUGAUGCAACCACAAUGCUUUUUGGUUCUAGUAACAGCAAUCUGGGGAGGAGGUGAGGAGGGCUCUUAAAGGAGGAGCAUUCUCCGGAUCAUGCAACAAGGCCUAAUUGUUACACAGUCCACAUGAUCUACUUUAUAGCCACUCAGAGUUUUUGUUCCCAGAUGGCUGCUGUUGAUUCUGUCCUUUACAAGCAAUAAAAGAGGGUAUCUGGUUUGUAUGAUACUAGCCUAAUGUUUCUUCUCCUCUCUUCCCACACUACCAUUCAUCCCAAGGGGCCCCACUUCAGGUUCAAUAAUACAUGAACACGUGCAAAAUCCCAUCCUUCUUGAGGAUGGCACUAGAACAUGCCUGUCUCACUCUAGAGAAUCUCUCCUCAGUAGUUAGUGUGAGGUCAACAAUGUUUCCUUGGUGUAGGCCAGAUCCAAUGUAAAUCUGGAAUAACUUCACUGAAAUCAACAGAGUUGCCUUACUAUCUACCUACCUACCAGCUUAUACAGUGCCCAUCACCUUGCAAUUAGAAUAGUUCCAAAGUGUUUAAAAAUAACAAUUUUCUUGGACUAACAGCAAUGAACUACAUCUAAGAUCUGAACCUGGAUCAGUGUUUUUAGUGUAUUCCAUAGGAAAUGGAAGGAGAUUGGCACAUUUACGGCUUUGAGGAAAGACAUGUGCUGGGAACCUUCCUAGUAGGGAUUGUGGGGAAGGAAUGCAAGUCAAAAUGUGAUGAAAUGAAUGCUAUUUGGGACCAAUUAAUGUACAGCUUGUGCCACACAGAGACAUUGUGGAUUUAUCACCCACUUGGCUGGAGAGAUUCUCCCUUUCAGACAUACACCCUUAGCUUCUGAUUGAACUCUUGGGGAUCUCUUUAGCACAUUCCCUUCCAUUAAAUACCCGUAAAAACAUUAACUGGUCAAACACUAUAUAAUUUGAAUAAUUUAACCAAUUAAUUGUGGAGGG